rnacentral:rRNA from 1 species
GACGAACGCUGGCGGCGUGCUUAACACAUGCAAGUCGAACGGAAAGGCCCUGCUUUUGUGGGGUGCUCGAGUGGCGAACGGGUGAGUAGCACGUGAGUAACCUGCCCUUGACUUUGGGAUAACUUCAGGAAACUGGGGCUAAUACCGGAUAGGAGCUCCUGCUGCAUGGUGGGGGUUGGAAAGUUUCGGCGGUUGGGGAUGGACUCGCGGCUUAUCAGCUUGUUGGGUGGGUAGUGGCUUACCAAGGCUUUGACGGGUAGCCGGGCUGAGAGGGGGACCGGCCACAUUGGGACUGGGCUACGGCCCAGCCUCCUACGGGAGGCAGCAGUGGGGAAUAUUGCACUAUGGGCGGAAGCCUGAUGCAGCACCGCCGCGUGCGGGAUGACGGCCUUCGGGUUGUAAUCCGCUUUCGCCUGUGACGAAGCGUGAGUGACGGUAAUGGGUAAAGAAGCACCGGCUAACUACGUG